GACUGAUUUAGUUGUCCAUGAGUUAAAUAAUGUCAGAUCGACGGCAUUUUGGUUAGAUCGACGUGUUGGCGUGUGAGUGGCUUAUUAAAUGUUUGUGUUGGCUGGCUCCCUGCUUGCGCAGCGAACUGUCGGCAUAUUCGUAUAUCAAUCGAGAUGGAAUUUAGCUUGUCGGAUUUUUGUGUUGCAAACCCAAUUGGUGGAAUUCUUAUUGCCCGGAUGCGUGACUUCGCCUAACACCCUUCGAGGUGCUUGGCGGCUGUUUAAGCUUCCCCAUUUUCUGCCAUGCUCUCCCUUUUAUUGGAACCAUGGAAAAUUGGCGGUUUUGCUUGUUGCCUCGGAUGCAGAGCAUGUAGCGAGCAUGUUGCAUGUCCACAUUGCUCAUUAGAGCUCUCGAUUGCUCGGAAAGAGAGACAGUCGAGCUUGGUUUUGGCUGUCGACUUGUCGAUCUAGCUCAUAACUUUGCCGACGUCUUCAAUGAUUGCUACCUGGUUGAUCCUGCCAGUAGUCAUAUGCUUGUCUCAAAGAUUAAGCCAUGAG
rnacentral:misc_RNA from 1 species